UAGAAACUCCCCAGGCUAAACCAGGAGGUCAGUUCUGCUUCUGUGAGCUGGGAUAAGAUUUUCUGAGAAGAGCUGUGGGGCAGUUGGGCUAAGCUCACCGACUUUGCACCACCUGCAUGCACAGUGUUCACCCAUGCCUUAAUUCCAGUUAUUCCUGGCCUUUCCUAUCCACAUGUUCCCUGAAUACCCCUGUCUGGCUGGGUGGUUUGUG
rnacentral:lncRNA from 12 species